rfam:Thermoactinomyces vulgaris strain NRRL F-5595 F5595contig4.1, whole genome shotgun sequence.
UGUUCAAAGCAGAGGCGCCCGCUUCUCACCUGGUCGACGCGAACGCAGUUGGCAGGUUAAUGGUUCGGAAGACACAUUUCCUAUGUUUGCGCAGGGAAAUUGAAUGUGGGCGUUAUCUGACGCCCACAUUUUUUAUUUGCC